GACUGACUGGCUCGAUACUGACACUGAGGUGCGAAAGCGUGGGAGCAAACGGGAUUAGAUACCCCGGUAGUCCACGCCGUAAACGAUGUCUACUAGCCGUUGGAGGACUUGAUCCUUUAGUGGCGCAGCUAACGCGAUAAGUAGACCGCCUGGGGAGUACGGUCGCAAGAUUAAAACUCAAAUGAAUUGACGGGGGCCCGCACAAGCGGUGGAGCAUGUGGUUUAAUUCGAAGCAACGCGAAGAACCUUACCUACUCUUGACAUCCAGUGAACUUUUGAGAGAUCAAUUGGUGCCUUCGGGAACACUGAGACAGGUGCUGCAUGGCUGUCGUCAGCUCGUGUUGUGAAAUGUUGGGUUAAGUCCCGUAACGAGCGCAACCCUUGUCCUUAGUUACCAUCAUUAAGUUGGGGACUCUAAGGAGACUGCCGGUGACAAACCGGAGGAAGGCGGGGACGACGUCAAGUCAUCAUGGCCCUUACGAGUAGGGCUACACACGUGCUACAAUGGCAUGUACAAAGGGUUGCCAAGCCGCGAGGUGGAGCUAAUCCCAUAAAGCAUGUCGUAGUCCGGAUUGGAGUCUGCAACUCGACUCCAUGAAGUCGGAAUCGCUAGUAAUCGUGAAUCAGAAUGUCACGGUGAAUACGUUCCCGGGCCUUGUACACACCGCCCGUCACACCAUGGGAGUGGGUUGCUCCAGAAGUAGAUAGCUUAACCUUCGGGAGGGCGUUUACCACGGAGUGAUUCAUGACUGGGGUGAAGUCGUAACAAGGUAACCGUA
rnacentral:rRNA from 1 species